AGAAUUAAUUGAAGCUAAAAGAAUCAUUCUUAGGGAUAAAGAGACUCAUAAUGUAAUAAACAAUCCUUUGCCUAAUCAUAACAACUGGCUAGUCGUUUGAAUGAUCUAUGAUGAUGGUGAAUUCGAUCUAGCACCGAAAGCCUUAGUAGCCAUUGCCGAGCAGAAAGGUCGCCAAACCAUGAAGAGUUCCCUGUCAGAUGAGAGUCUCGGUAGCCUAUCUUGCAGUCCUUUCUGCAUCUAGAUUAUUUGAGGGUUUAAUCUAGAUGUUUUAUU
rnacentral:lncRNA from 1 species